rnacentral:rRNA from 1 species
UACGGGGGGGGCAAGCGUUGUUCGGAAUUACUGGGCGUAAAGGGUCUGUAGGUGGCUUGCUAAGUCAGACGUGAAAUCCCUCAGCUUAACUGGGGAACUGCGUCUGAGACUGGCGAGCUUGAGGGCAGGAGAGGAACGCGGAAUUCCAGGUGUAGCGGUGAAAUGCGUAGAGAUGUGGAGGAACACCGAUGGCGAAGGCAGCCCCCUGGGCUAACACUGACGCUCAUGCACGAAAGCGUGGGGAGCAAACAGG